AUGGCCAGCAUCCUGUUUGGUGAUUUGAUGAGAGUCCCAGGCUCUCUUUGCAUAUCAGAACGCUGGUCUCUGUGCACCUUGCAUGGGAUGACUGCAUCUGGACAACUGAGAUGUUCCUUGCCAUUGAUCAAAUGCUCAGCAAGCUCAGAAAAUACAGCUGGAAACUCCUUGGAGCCCUCCACCUGCUGCUCUUCAUUCACAGCUUCUCCCUGCAAAGUGGGGCUUUAUUAUUCUUGGAGAGACGCAGCUAUCUGUUACAAGUGCCAAAUCACCGGUGCUGGCUCUGGUUUUCUCCUCAGCCCAAAGUGGCCUGUCCUCCUCCUCCCUGCCCGCUCAUCUCUUCACUUGGCGGACCCUUAUUCAUCCUUAACACCAGAUUGCCCCAGCCCCUUUCCUUCAAAGAAGAGGCCUCUGAAGUUCUGCUGUGCUGAGGACUGUUCUGCAGGGGGAGCACCGAGAAGCCCCUUUCCCCUGCAUGAUUUCAGGCUUCAAUACAGAAUACAUUUUAUAGUCUCUCUGUUCCCUCCAGUCCACUGCUCUGUUGGGGUUGAAUAA
rnacentral:lncRNA from 1 species